UAAGGAAUUCUGGAAUUCUGCAAGGGGGAGUUAAGCUGUUGCUAAGAGACAGUUGGGAUUGUGCUGGAUCUAUCUUUCUGGUUUACCUGGAGGGGACUGGCUGUCUUCCCUUGCUGGCUGUUUUCUGUCUGGCCUUAUCCAUCAUGCCUACUUCUCUGCUUGAUAUCUUCGGAGCUUCCUGGUGUGAUCCUGAACUGUCUGGGCCAUCUGUCUGAGGGGAUUGGAGUCAGAAGACUUUGCUUCAAAAGCUGGUUCUGGUACUUUAUUCAUGUGUGACCCUGGGACAAACAAAUAAUGCCGUGAGAUCCAACUGAGCUGUUCAUUCAGCUUUGGCAAGAGUACAAGGUCAUUUAAUUGGAGCCUCUUGAAAAGAGUUCUACUAGACUCCCCAUUGACAUACUGCCAUCUGCUGGAGCUGGGUCUGCCGAUCAGCUUUCCAAGUGUUUGGCUCCCUGAGCCGGAACAUAUGCUCAUUCUCCAUUUCCUGCUGAUUUUUCUGACGCCUGUCCAAAUAUCCAGGAGAAGAAGGCAGGCAGGACUAGAUUUCUGCAAAACUGUGAAGGCUGAGGCUGAAAAUUUUCUGAAGAAGAAGAACCACUCUCAACCAUUAUUAUUGAAUACAGCAUUUGCUCUGGACUUGAUAUUAAUUCUUACUGAAAGUAAUCUAAAGUUACAAGGCAAAACAACACUUAUAUGCAAAAUAUACUGCAAUAAAGUCAAUUUGAUGACAACUAAUAUUGUUCAACUCACAGGUAAUAUCAAGGUGCUUCAUAUACUUCCUAUGCUGUCAAAAGUUAAAUCAAGAAGUAAGAACUUUACUCCCACACGAAUUUAUAAUGGAUAUAUUUUCUGGGAUCAAAAUAUAGAUCCAGCAGUGUUUUUUGGAUCUUAAUGAAAGUGCAAAAGAAAUGUUUAUAUUUCAAAUUUUACUUCACUGAUCAGGUGAGAAGCUCUCACUUAACCUUAAUUUGGAAGAGACUAACUCUGCAACAUAAUGAUCUACUAAGGAAAAAAUACUGGGAGGUGGAUAUAAUAGAAUUCCAUAUAUUGAAUAUGCCCAAUUAAAAUCAUAUGCUCCUGGACUGAUAUUAGUAUUUGAAAGAACUUAUAUUUGCAAAGAGACAUUUUCAAAGAUGAAAUUCAUAAGAUCUCGUUACAGGUUAGUAUUAACAGGUAAACAUUUAUAAUUGAUUUUAAUGAUAGGGAAUACUAACUUUUGACCCCCAGUAAGUAAAGUAUCAUUCCCAAGAAGAAUCUGAUUAUUAUCAUUAGGAGAGCCACAUUAAAAAUUAUACCCGAUUAUUACUAUGACUAUUAUUAUAUUUUGAAAUAUGCCAAAAACGUUUGGGGAAAUUGGUUUUCUCUUGUUAUAUAAGUACCUACAUAAUAUCCUUGAUUUCUCCUUCUAUCCACUGCCUACAGAAUAGUUUAACUAUAACAGCUCUAAUUUACCAUAACUGCUUUAGUUUAAUUAUAACAACAGAGGGCCUAAAAUGUUUAUUAUUUGGCUAAUUGUAGAAAAAGUUUUCCAAUUGCUAUCUUGGAACAAUACAGAUAUGUAGAAUGUAACCUGGUGCUCAACUAUUUUCCAUAAGACUAUCUUCCUUGGUGAAAAAUGAUUACUUGAUAUUCUGAAAAUGCAUGAGGAUCAGAGUUGAUGAAAGCUUCGGAGAAGAGAGAUGUUAGGUUUUCUGUCUUUGAGAAAGGACACACAAGGUUCCAGGCUUUCUUCAGGAUAAGGUGGCUGAAGGGAGAGAAAGACUCCAAGAAAAAGUCUACAUGUUCAAGCAACUGGUACCUCUCUAUCUGUUGGCUUCUUCUUGGAGUCUUUCUUUCUCUUUAGGGAACCUAUCCUUAAAAAGAGUCUGGAACCAUGUGUAUCAGGUCUCAAAGUCUACAUAGAGAAAUUAAAAAUAAUUCUCUGUCAAUGAGAGGUCUUAUUAAAAUGAAAUGGAACCCUAGGUUACAGAAGAAACACAUUCUUUUAUUUAGCCUAAAAAAGGAAGGUGCUAACCUUCCAACUUCUCACCUUCAAGUCGCACAAUGGAGCCAAAGCAGGUAAUAUCCUAAUAUUAUGGACAAGAAGUUCUCUGGUUCAUGUGAUUCUGUGCUCCAAUGCAAGGUCCAGCUGGGGAAUGCACAUUCCUAUUCAAUGCUUGACUUUAAAGUAUAGAUAAGUGGCCAGAUCAAAUCAACAACAUCAUGCUUGUUCUUGAUUCUCUAAGGGCUAUUGCCUUCAAAAGGAAAAAGAAAUGUCAGUUGUUAAGUAGCCAAUUUCUUGUAAAAUGUGAAAAUUGAGCUGUCAAUGGUUCCCAUCACUUUUUCUCUGUGAACUUCUUUGAACAAAAAAAAAGUUAUGAAUUCCCAGGGUAAUUUAACACACUAACCAUGAUAUUCUUUAUUCUCUUAAAUUUAUUCAUCAAGUGCUUAUAAGUAACCACAAUGAUAAAUUUUGUCCUCAACAGAUCCAAAUUAAAAAUGAUAUAUCAUUAUAGGGCAAAAUUGUAUUCUACAUGUAAUAUGUUUUUCUAACUAAAUGAAAAUUAUAAAAUCCUACAAGAAUAUACAAAAUUCAUAAAAAUGUAAAAUUACAAAUAUUUUAUGUUUAUUAUUCUGUGAGGUUUAAAAGAAGGGUUAUAAGAAGCAAAAAAUUGGAAAUUGAGAUGUUGGCCAACAAUUGGGGAAUGGCUGAACAAGUUGUGGUAUAGGAUUGUAAUAAAACAUUUUUGUGAUAUAAGAAAUGACAAGCAGGAUGAUUUUGGAAAAACCUGGAAAGACAUAUGAACUAAUGCAAAGUGAAGUUAGCAGAACCAGAAGAACAUUGUAUAAAGCAACAGUAAUAUUUUUUGAUGAGCAACUAUGAAUGUCCUAGUUAUUCUUAUCAAUACAGUGAUCAAAGAUAAUUCCAGAGACUCAUGAUGAAAAAUGCCAUUUGCCUCCAAAGAAAGAACUGAUGGUCUGAUUGCAGUCCAAAACACAUUAUAUUCCCCUUCCUUCCUUCCUUUCUUUUUUCCUUCCUCCUCUUUUUUUGUUUGAGAUCCCUUCUACAAAAUGACUAGUAUGGAAAAAUGUUUUUCAUGAUUGUACUCAUAAAAUCUAUAUCAGAUUGCUUGCCAUUUCAUU